rnacentral:rRNA from 1 species
UACGUAGGGCGCAAGCGUUGUCCGGAUUUAUUGGGCGUAAAGAGCUCGUAGGCGGCUUGUCGCGUCGUCCGUGAAAACCUGCAGCUCAACUGCAGGCUUGCGGUCGAUACGGGCAGGCUAGAGUUCGGUAGGGGAGACUGGAAUUCCUGGUGUGAGACGGUGAAAUGACGCAGAUAUCAGGAGGAACACCGGUGGCGAAGGCGGGUCUCUGGGCCGAUACUGACGCUGAGGAGCGAAAGCGUGGGGAGCGAACAGG